rnacentral:rRNA from 1 species
GACGUAGGGCGCGAGCGUUGUCCGGAUUUAUUGGGCGUAAAGAGCUCGUAGGCGGCUUGUCGCGUCGAAUGUGAAAACUCGGGGCUCAACUCCGAGCUUGCAUUCGAUACGGGCAGGCUAGAGUUCGGUAGGGGAGACUGGAAUUCCUGGUGUAGCGGUGAAAUGCGCAGAUAUCAGGAGGAACACCGGUGGCGAAGGCGGGUCUCUGGGCCACUACUGACGCUGAGAAGCGAAAGCAUGGGGGAGCGAACAGG